AUUGAACGCUGGCGGCAGGCCUAACACAUGCAAGUCGAGCGAGCGGCGGACGGGUGGGUAAUGUAUGGGGACUGCCCGAUAGAGGGGGAUAACUACUGGAAACGGUAGCUAAUACCGCAUACUAUCGGAUAACCCAUAUGGGAUUAGCUAGUAGGUAAGGUAAUGGCUGACCUAGGCGACGAUCCCUAGCUGUUCUGAGCGGAUGAUCAGCCACACGGGGACUGAGACCUGGCCCAGACGCCUACGGAGGCAGCAGGGGGGAAUAUUGCACAAUGGGCGCAAGCCUGAUGCAGCCAUGCCGCGUGUAUGAAGAAGGCCCUAGGGUUUUAAAGUAAUUUCAGUCGGGAGGCGUUACCGACAGAAGAAGCACCGGCUAACUCCGUGCCAGCAGCCGCGGUAAUAC
rnacentral:rRNA from 1 species